rnacentral:rRNA from 1 species
CUACGGUUGCUGCAGUGGGGAAUAUUGCACAAUGGACGAAAGUCUGAUGCAGCAACGCCGCGUGGAGGAUGACACAUUUCGGUGCGUAAACUCCUUUUAUAUAGGAAGAUAAUGACGGUACUAUAUGAAUAAGCGCCGGCUAACUCCGUGCCAGCAGCCGCGGUAAUACGGAGGGCGCAAGCGUUACUCGGAAUCACUGGGCGUAAAGAGCGUGUAGGCGGAUAGAUAAGUCAGGAGUGAAAUCCUAUGGCUCAACCAUAGAACUGCUCUUGAAACUGUCUAUCUAGAAUAUGGGAGAGGUAGAUGGAAUUUCUGGUGUAGGGGUAAAAUCCGUAGAGAUCAGAAGGAAUACCGAUUGCGAAGGCGAUCUACUGGAACAUUAUUGACGCUGAGACGCGAAAGCGUGGGGAGCAAACAGGAUUAGAUACCCUGGUAGUC